GCAAGUCGAACGAGAAAGUGGAGCAAUCCAUGAGUAAAGUGGCGACCGGGUGAGUAACACGUGACUAACCUACCUCCGAGUGGGGAAUAACUCCGGGAAACCGGGGCUAAUACCGCAUAACAUCGCAAGAUCAAAGCAGCAAUGCGCUUGGAGAGGGGGUCGCGGCUGAUUAGCUAGUUGGCGGGGUAACGGCCCACCAAGGCGAAGAUCGGUAUCCGGCCUGAGAGGGCGCACGGACACACUGGAACUGAAACACGGUCCAGACUCCUACGGGAGGCAGCAGUGGGGAAUUUUGCGCAAUGGGGGAAACCCUGACGCAGCAACGCCGCGUGGAGGAUGAAGCCCUUUGGGGCGUAAACUCCUUUCGACUCGGACGAUAAUGACGGUACGAGUGGAAGAAGCACCGGCUAACUCUGUGCCAGCAGCCGCGGUAAUACAGAGGGUGCGAGCGUUGUUCGGAAUUAUUGGGCGUAAAGGGCGCGUAGGCGGUGCGGUAAGUCACCUGUGAAAUC
rnacentral:rRNA from 1 species